UGCUGCCUAUAUAUGCACACAUAUGGAUAUUGGAAUCCUACCAAGGUCAUUAAAAGAAUGAUUCUCUGUCCUUCAGAAACUUAACCAAUUACUCAUAGCUCCUCAAUAAGGAGUAGUACCUAGAUACUAUCUACUCACCACUGCCAGAAUUUCAGCUGUUUUGAUUUUAUGCAAGUAACCACGGGUGAUUUUGUUCAUGAGUGUGAUAGCCAUGUCAUAUCCAGAAUAUAGCAUUUCACAAAGCUCCCCCUCCUCCAGCUGACUCUUAGAGUCUCCUGCCUUCUCUUCAGUGAUGUUCCAAGAGCUGAGAAGAGGGAACUUGAUAUGGGCUGAGCACACAGUCUCUUAUUAGCACUUGGACCAAUUGUGCAUCUUUCCAUAGACUGCUGCCCGCUGCAAAAGGAGGUGUCUCUGACCAAGGUUCAGAGUAGCCUAGGUUAUAGAUAUAAACAGAGAUUUAACCACAUGACCACCUAAUAAAAUAAUAAUAGCAGCUACUACGCCUGUUCUUUUGACUAGGAUUAUUGUACCAGACAUGAAAUGUCUUCCUUUGUAGCAGACUUCAGAUCCUAUCAGUAAGCAUUUAGUUACCCUCGCUGAUAGGUCAGUAUUCUGACAAGCAUGGUCCAGAGUUGUCUUGUCUCACCCAGUAUCCUGCACAGCAUCCUCAUACUGUGCAAGCUCACCACCAUAGAGGAAUUUUUCUACUCAGUUUUAGACUGAUUCCUCUCUAUCCUAAACCAGUGUGUACAGUGUCUAUUUCAUUGUGGUUGGUCAUCAAGUGCAUCAUCAUGUACUAUUUCGUAGACUUCUAAAGCCUUUCUGACAAUGACUAGUAGGGAGGUAUACCAUACCUUGCACUGUCAUUUUUAUUUAAUAGACUAUAUAUUCUGGGAGUGACAUUGUUCUCAUAUGUAGGAUAAGUGCAUUUGAUCUCUUUUAAGUUGGUUUUUGACAAUUAGCUUACUAACCAGUGUGUUUCAUGCUCAGCUUUUCGCAUGGGUUCUAAAUACUCAACCUCAGAUCCUUAUACUUGUACAUCAGACACUGAGUCAACUGAGCCAUCUCCCCAGCCCAGUUACCUACAUUUUUAAAUAAAUUUGGUAAUAUGUAGUUAUAAUCAUUUGUCUACUAUUGCAUAUAUUUGAUUUUAUACAAUGAAAAGUUGAGUAGCUGUAAUAGAGAACUUACAUCUGCCAACGCCUGAAGUCGUUAUCACUGUCCCUUUAAAUUUGACAAUCUAUUUUGGGAAACUAAUAGAAUAUAUAAUUUGUUUAAGUCUGAUAAAAUAUUAAGUUUCACUUAGGAAUAAAUUAGUGCUAUAAAUAUACUUCAGUAUUAUAAGACUUUGGGGAUAUAAACUAAAUAUUUAGAAGACAGCUUAAUGAUAUGUCAGGUUACCGAAAUAAUAUCAGUUCUCCACUCGGGACUAACAGUCACCAUCACCAUGUGGUUUUGAUGUGGUUUUCAGUACUAAUAAGAGAAGUCUCUAUUUCUAGUGAUUAGUGGUCAACGUAGACCCAUGGCUGCACCAAGUACUGAUAGUAAAUGGUAGAUGAGUGUUCAAAUCUAAGAAAUAUAUUAUCUCCCCCUAAAGCUCAGGGAAAAUUGCAGAAGGAGGCGGGGUGUAAUAUAAAACUAGCAGAUAGGAAGAAGGCUGCGGAAUGUCAUUCUGGGCAAGAUAAAUUUUUGGCAAUUGUAGGUGCCCAUACAGGGUUUGUAUAUAAAUGAGUCUCUCAUCAAGUCAAGCAUGGAUGGAGGAGGGACUGUUUUCCACUGAUAGGGUCAGAAAGGGGAUAUCAUUGCCUUCAAGGGCUCCAAUGGUAAUUUUAAUCCACUAGUGAAAUAGAUGGCCUUCUUUAAUAAGCUAGAUGGAUCAAAAAACAAAAUUGAAAGCCGUGAGCCUUGGAAAGACACUGGUGAAUGUGAGUGGGGAGUGGGUGGUAGUGAUGGAAGGGAGACAAGAGAAGGUGAGGAGUAUGAGGGAGAGAAUCAGAAUGUAUUAUAGUACAAGUGUACAAUUUAUCAAAUAAUAAAUUAAU
rnacentral:lncRNA from 1 species